UGCUUCUUUACCUAUGCUUUUGCAUUCCUGCUUCGCUAAGCAGUGUAACUGGAAGUUGAAUAGGAUUUUUAAAACAAGUAGAGGCAUUCAAGUUAUCUCACAAAAUCCUGCACCACCAUUGCAAGAAGCCCUUUAAUUGUCAAUCUGCUAGCCAUCAGUCUAUGAACUAAUCAGCUUAUACUCCCAUAAGGCACAGAAAUUGUAUGUAAUGACAUGACCCAGUAGCCAAAAAUCAUGCGCAAGGUUGCUUCGCUUGCGCUGUGGUGACCCAAUGGAGAAUACAGCUUUCAUAGGUGGGUGUCUUCAAUUUUUUGUUUUGUAGGAAAGAAAGAACCCAGAAAGCACCAAUAAUAGCAUCUUCAAAGGCAUUUCCACUGCCACAAAUCAGAAUGAUCUAGGAUGAUGUUCACAGGAUCUUCCAUGCAGUGGCUGAAGAACAGAGUGCCUUACAGACUCCGUGAGUCACAGGACUGUAUUUUUGAAGGAGAAGAUACUAAGGGUGAAUAUCUGGAACUCUGUCACCUGGACACUUUCUUUCCUUCCCAGGGAUCUUUCUUGCCAGUGAAAUAUUAGAAGCUAGCAAAGUCAUUCCAGUGACCCCACGAGUGGGUGGAAGAGCUCCUGUGGGUGUCACUUGCUUAAUUCUUGCCUGUGGAUAUUCUGGGAAGCUGCUGCAUUUCCUUGGGAUUUCCACACCUGGAAGAGCUCUUUGCUGAUAAAAGCCCUUGGCACCAUAAGAACAGGGUAAGCAAUGUGUGGCUGUGGAAAUACAGAUGCUUCACCUGGUUGGAAAAUCAAGUGUUAGGCUGACUAUGCCAGAUGCUGGGUGAGGGUCAUUUCCCAGCAGGGAGGAGCAGGGUAAUACUGGAAACAAUGCCAGAGGAUCACAGAAUCACAGAAUUGUAGGGGUUGAAAGGGCCCUCUGGAGACCAUUGACUCCAACCCCCUGCUAAAGCAGGUUCCCUACAGCAGGUCGCAUGGGAAAGCAUCCAAGCAGGUCCUGAAUAUCUCCAGAGAAGGAGACUCCACAGCCUAUUCGGGCAGCCUGUUUUGGUGCUCUGUCACCCUC
rnacentral:lncRNA from 1 species